rnacentral:rRNA from 1 species
AAUAUUACACAAUGCGGGCAACUCUGAUCUACCCAUGCCGUGUGUGUGAAGAAGGUCUUCGGAUUGUAAAGCACUCUAAGGUGGGAGGAAGGGCUUUAGGUUAAUACCCUGAAGUUUUGACGUUACCAACAGAAUAAGCACCGGCUAUCUCUGUGCCAGCAGCCGCGGUAAUACAGAGGGUGCAAGCGUUAAGCGGAAUUACUGGGCGUAAAGCGCGCGUAGGUGGUUCAGUAAGAUGGGUGUGAAAUCCCCGGGCUUAACCUGGGAACUGCUUUCAUAACUGCUGAGCUAGAGUACGGUAGAGGGUAGUGGAAUUUCCUGUGUAGCGGUGAAAUGCGUAGAUAUAGGAAGGAACACCAGUGGCGAAGGCGACUACCUGGACUGAUACUGACACUGAGGUGCGAAAGCGUGGGGAGCAAAC